rfam:Oryza meridionalis cultivar OR44 (W2112) chromosome 7, whole genome shotgun sequence.
AGGGAGUACUUCCUCGAUCAGUACUCCCUUCGUGACCCUCUAUCUUAUUUGAAAUAUUUUUAUGAUUAGUAUUUUUAUUGUUAUUAGAUGAUAACAUAUGAAUAGUACUUUAUGCAUGACUUAACUUUUAAAAUUUUUCAAAUAAGACGGACGGUCAAACGUUGGGCACGAAAACUUAUGGCUGCCUUGUAA